ensembl:lncRNA
GGGGAAGGGGUCCUGUCAUGUUUUUGAAUAAUGUUUUUUUGCACUUUGGACUUUGGCGGCAUCAAGUGGCCGUACAUGUGUUAUUUAAGUAUUUUCUGUUCCCUUGCUUUGCCAAUUAGCCCUGUCACCUGUGUCUUGUUGCUCCGGUCACAUGACCAAUCAAGCCAUGCCUUUAAGCCCUGCUUUUGCCGAUGUUCAGUGCUUAGUCUUUGAUGUGCCACGUUCGUACUCUGACCGAAGCUAGUCUUGUAUUGGAAAUGAUUAUUGAUCCCCUGUGAUUUGACCGCUUGCCUGCCCUCUGGAUUACCCACUUGGAUUUGCCCCUUUGGUAAUGCCCCUCCCUUCUCUCCUUCCGUUGGCCUCUAUUUGUAUUCAUAUGCUGCUAUUCAUGAACAGUUGCUCAAUACAAAGCUUUAGUAGGUUUAUGUUUGCUGUGGUUGUGGUAAGGGGCAGCCUGUAAGGAAUGGAUCCUAUCAAUCCAUUACCAUGAGCCUCCUGGCUCCCAGCCUCCUCCAACACAAGGCACCCUUCCACAUUUCAAAGAUCCCUCUCUGUUUCUCCUGCAGAUCGAUGUGUAGGAGGUUCAGUUCAUGGUAAAGGAGGAGCGCCGCAGCCUGCUGGAUUAUGAAGACAAUGGCAGCACCAAAAUAGAUCAGCAGCACCAGAUAAGAUUAUAGAUUGGACCGCUCAGACUGUGAUUACGAUGAAUCUAACGUGGAUUGGUCAAUAGUGGUUGAAGAGCCAACAAUGAUUGUCAAAGCAUCGUGGAAAUCCGUCUAAGGCCGGCCCAUCCCAACCCCAGCCUGGCAGAAAAUGUCAUACUUGAUCUAUUCGACUGGACGUGCACAACACAGACACAUGCACAUCGCACACAGAACAAACACAUGCACCUCAUGCACAGCACACACACACAUGCAGUCUUUCCGGCCGGAAGUUCAGUAAGCAUUAGAAAAACUGGACCAUGUGUUUGUGUGCAUGUGUGUGUCAGGAUGACUGGAUGAGGUGAGGGAGGCUCAUAUGUGUUUUGAGCCAGCGUGACUCAUUUCCUGUGGUAAAUUCACAGCCCAAACACGACAAAUUCUCUCUCUCCCUCUCUGUCUUCCUUUCACUCACAAUAAUUAAGUUGAAAUUAAGCUUGAAGUGAUCUGACUGAACUAAGGGAAGAUAAUGUCUCAUCACUUCUCUGUUCAUAGAAUGAUGCUUUGAGAGCAAGGCACAACCUCAAUGAUGUUCAGAGAUGACUUGUAAAUGACAACCAUAAUACUGUAAUAAUAUAAAGUGUUGCACAUCAUAAAAGCCC